GAUGAACGCUGGCGGCGUGCCUAAUACAUGCAAGUCGAGCGAACAGACGAGUAGCUUGCUCCUCUGACGUUAGCGGCGGACGGGUGAGUAACACGUGGAUAACCUACCUAUAAGACUGGGAUAACUUCGGGAAACCGGAGCUAAUACCGGAUAAUAUAUUGAACCGCAUGGUUCAAUAGUGAAAGACGGUUUUGCUGUCACUUAUAGAUGUAUCCGCGCCGCAUUAGCUAGUUGGUAAGGUAACGGCUUACCAAGGCGACGAUGCGUAGCCGACCUGAGAGGGUGAUCGGCCACACUGGAACUGAGACACGGUCCAGACUCCUACGGGAGGCAGCAGUAGGGAAUCUUCCGCAAUGGGCGAAAGCCUGACGGAGCAACGCCGCGUGAGUGAUGAAGGUCUUCGGAUCGUAAAACUCUGUUAUUAGGGAAGAACAAAUGUGUAAGUAACUAUGCACGUCUUGACGGUACCUAAUCAGAAAGCCACGGCUAACUACGU
rnacentral:rRNA from 1 species